UUUUAACCAAUCACAGCUAUCGGCUCACGGCCACUGUCCAGCCUGCGCAGCCCCUAGAAGCCAACCACAAAGUCAGCUUUCUAUUCACAACAGGGGACCUGACUGCACAGGAUUCAGUCUGGCAAGAGACCAGACAAGCAGCCUGGAGGAAGCAGAAACCAGCCAAGUUUCCUGGAAGACGUUUAGACUGAUUGAGGCACCUGGAAAGGACACUCUCCAGCCUGUUGAGCAGCUUGCAGGCUCCAGGUUCCCAGGAUUUGUGAGCCAUCACCCAAUCUCCUGUAAGUUAUCUCAGUAAACCUCAUUGGUUCACCAA